UUUUUUGAGAAUUUGAUCCUGGUUCAGGAUGAACGCUGGCGGUGUGCCUUAAGCAUGCAAGUCGUGCGGGUUUUGUCGCAAGACAGAAUCAGCGGCAAACGGGUGAGUAACGCGUAGGGAUCUACCUUUUCGUGGGGGAUAGCUCGCCGAAAGGCGGGGUAAUACCGCAUGUGAUCGCGAGAUGAAAGUCGUAAGACGCGAAAAGAGGAACCUGCGCCCCAUCAGGUUGUUGGCGGGGUAAUAGCC
rnacentral:rRNA from 1 species